rnacentral:misc_RNA from 1 species
AACACUGUUUCCCCACCCCUCUCAACAUUGGACAAAUACAUCAGUACAGUUGCAAUCCGGUGACCACCCAGCUCCUGAUUAGCCUUGUCAUGAAAAUAAUCGAAAUGAGGUUCAUACUUCUGACCAUUCUCAUAAUGCAGUAUUUGGAUGGACUCUCCAUUUUCUUCUGGAAGGAAAGUCCAUGCAGCAAUCCUGGCCUCAAUAUCAGCAACAAUUUUAUCCUG